rnacentral:lncRNA from 1 species
AGCAUGUACAUCAUAGAAUUAUAUGCAGUGUAAUGAUAUGAAGUAAACUGAAAGCGUAAAUUUCUGUGUAUUUCACAGCAUUUCCUGUAAUUUACCGACUCCCUGGUCCGCUAUCUAGGCAUUGUAUUACGGUAUACAUGUAGCUCUAGGGACACUAAUACUCGUUGUUUAACCAUUUCUAUGAAUGUGUAAGAAGUAUAUAAUAUUAAGAACACUGUGUCAGUGUGAUAAGAACGUUUUUGAUAAUAUAGUCGGAUAAUAUAUUCGUGUUACUAUUUAUUUUAUUGAGAAGUUACUAAACAAUGAUGUUGUGAUCGACGGGAAAACAAUUAUUUGCAAUGUCCAAACUUGAAUGGGAUUGAUUAAAAGUUCAAAAAUGCCAAAUACUGGAAAAGCCGAUGACUGUGACAAUCGAAGAAAAAAUAUCAGAGACGAACAAUUACACAUGAAGAACGAAUAUGCAUGCAUAACAUCCCAGGUCAAAUAUUGAACAAGGAUCGGAAGAAAGAAUAGAUUUAGACAUUUGUGAAAGGAACAAUGGGAACUUUGGAUGUUUACUCUUUCUGAAACGUAUAACUACAACAAAGAUGUGAUUAUUGUAUUAGAAACUGAAUUUUCCAGUCUUCUAGUGGUUUAACUAGCAUACCAAGAUAUAUACCUUCAUGCUUUUAUACACUUAUCUUUUUCAUAUUUUUUUAUUUUUUAUAAUAUAUUUGAUCGAAAGUAGCAUUGAAAAACGGGAAUAUAUAAAAAUUAAGAGAAAGUUACUGCAAUUUGUACUUGGAAUAAUUUAAAGAGGAGAUACGACGUUUCAUUGUUUCUAGAUAUUAGCACAAUUGUAUAUGAUAUUGAUAUCUCAUUUUUAUGGAAUAAUGCGGAAUUGAGAUACAUCGGUUGGACAAGCGAUGCGACCUUGACUCAGCCCAUAUGUUUACUCGUAUAGAAUACCUUUUUGAUCUUAUUUGAAAUUUCUAUUUAAAUGAAAACUAUUUAUUUGUAUUUAUUGGAUCGUUCGGCAAAGAUUAGACUUACACAGUCUGUUGAGAUUAAACAUUUCCCAUUUAAUUCAUUUUUUUUUAAAUAUAUAUCAAAUUUCCUGUAGCUCCCUUUUACUGUGGCUUAUCUCAACAGACUUAUAAAAUGCGAUUUCGGCUUACAUAACCUCGUUGAGGAUUCAUCAGUGUCCUAACUGUACAAAGAUUUAUUGCCCAAUGAACAAGUCAGUGUUAUGCCAUUACCACUGACCACAAGGUAAUAAAUGAGGCUUAAAACUCCAGCCAGAUGUUGAGCUGAGAGAAAAUAAACCCUGCUGCUCCAUAAACAAGAUACAAGUUUUAUGUAUUAAACUAGAUUGUGUUUCCUUAAGAAAUGUGCAAAAAUGGAGAAUAAAAUGUGUAGGUAAUUCAUAUAUAAGUUUGCAAUUUUAUUAACAAGAUCAACAUGAAAGUUUAUUUACAUAAUUCCUAUCAUUGUUUCUGAAACAUUUAUUUUGGAAUUUGACUGCCUAAGAUAGUAAGGUAACUAAAAUGGAAUUUAAAACACCGACCAAACAGGUAUCAAGAAUCCAGUUGACACCUACAAAUAUUUGUUGCAACAUAUUAAAAGCAUACCUCCAGAUCGUUCAACAAUUUUUUUUUUUUUUUUAGAUAUCUUGAAAUAAAAGCUAAAUUUCUUAAGAAGGCUUUAAAACUU